AGCCUACGACCAGUGCAACAGAGAGCAGACCGCCGAUGGCCCGCAAGGGAUCAGGUAAGGGUGAAAGGGUGCGGUAAGAGCGCACCGCGCGACUGGCAACAGUUCGUGGCACGGUAAACUCCACCCGGAGCAAGACCAAAUAGGCCCCCAUUGGCGCGGCCCGCGUUGGGGGCGGGUAGGUUGCUUGAGCCAGUGAGCGAUUGCUGGCCUAGAGGAAUGACUGCUACCGCGCAAGCGGCACAGAACCCGGCUUACCGGCCGACUCCCCCU
rnacentral:RNase_P_RNA from 1 species